CGCAGCCGCGGUAAUUCCAGCUCCAAUAGCGUAUAUUAAAGUUGUUGCAGUUAAAAAGCUCGUAGUUUAACUUCGGGAUCAAUGGAUUGGUCAUGCCGAUGGUGUGUACUGGUCAUAUUGGUUCUCACCUUCUAAGGAACCAUAAUGUCAUUUAUUUGAUGUUGUGGGGAAUUAGGACUGUUACCUUGAAAAAAUUAGAGUGUUUAAAGCAGGCUAACGCUUGAAUACAUUAGCAUGGAAUAAUGAAAUAGGACAUCGCAUUCUAUUUUGUUGGUUUCUAGGAUCGAUGUAAUGAUUAAUAGGGAUAGUUGGGGGCAUUAGUAUUCAAUUGUCAGAGGUGAAAUUCUUGGAUUUAUUGAAGACUAACUACUGCGAAAGCAUUUGCCAAGGAUGUUUUCAUUAAUCAAGAACGAAAGUUAGGGGAUCGAAGACGAUCAGAUACCGUCGUAGUCUUAACCAUAAACUAUGCCGACUAGGGAUCGGAUGAUGUUGAUUUUUUAAUGACUCAUUCGGCACCUUA
rnacentral:rRNA from 1 species